ensembl:lncRNA
CAAAUGUUGGUUCUGCCUAGUCCCGGUCCACUUUGCUGUCAUUGGUUAAUACUGCUCUGCUUUGAUUGGUUAAAAAUACAGUGACGUAACUGGCUAAGAGUGCUGGGCUGUAAUUGGUUCAUUAGUGCUGCUGUGCUGUUAUUAGUUAAUGAUACUGUGAUUGAAAAUACCACAGUGAUGUUAUUGGUAAAUACCACAGUGAGGUUAUUGGUAAAUACUACAGUGAGGUUAUUGGUAAAUACUACAGUGAGGUUAUUGGUAAAUACCACAGUGAGGUUAUUGGUAAAUACCACAGUGAUGUUAUUGGUAAAUACUACAGUGAGGUUAUUGGUAAAUACCACAGUGA